rnacentral:rRNA from 1 species
AACGAACGCUGGCGGCAUGCCUAACACAUGCAAGUCGAACGAGACCUUCGGGUCUAGUGGCGCACGGGUGCGUAACGCGUGGGAACCUGCCCUUAGGUUCGGAAUAACUCCCCGAAAGGGGUGCUAAUACCGGAUAAUGUCUUCGGACCAAAGAUUUAUCGCCUUUGGAUGGGCCCGCGUUGGAUUAGCUAGUUGGUAGGGUAAAAGCCUACCAAGGCGACGAUCCAUAGCUGGUCUGAGAGGAUGAUCAGCCACACUGGGACUGAGACACGGCCCAGACUCCUACGGAAGGCAGCAGUGGGGAAUAUUGGACAAUGGGCGAAGGCCGAACCCAGAAAGGCGGCGUGAGUGAUGAAGGCUUUAGGUUUGUAAGCCCUUUUACCCGGGAUGAUAAUGACAGUACCGGGAGAAUAAGCUCCGGCUAACUCCGUG